UUUAGGAUAACACAAAUACUCAGCGAUUCGGAACGGAUGGCCUGAAUUUUGAAACGAAUUAUACCUAAAUUCUCGCGUCUGUAUACACGCGAACAAACUUUCUGUGAACGAACAAAUUCGAUGUCAUUAUGUAAAUGACGUGUAUACAGCGGUGCUCGUCGAUACAAAUCUACUGAAAAUUACCAUUCGAGUUUCCAGCGCAUUCUAGGACAUCAAAUGAAUUUACCUUUCUAUA